GUGGAAGCACAGUGGAAUCCUGGAACCUGAACUUACAACCUGUCUCCUCCAACUAAUGGAUACCUGGACCCCUCCAUCCAACACUGGCACGAUUGCACUCAGGAAACUCCAUGGAAGAGGAGAUAGAGUGUAAGAGCCAGAUGGAAUGGAAGACACCAGAAGAACAAGCCUCUCUACAUCAGCUGGGAAAAGCUCACAUGAAGUCACAGAGACUGAAGCAGCAAGCACAGCUCUCCAAUUAAGGUGAUACUUAGAAAUUACCUAGGGAAAAACAAAUAAAUGAAGCAAUAAAAAAUGAAUUAGGAGGGAAGAUGGAAAUGUGUGAAGGAUGGAAGAAAACACUCAAAGAAGUCAGAUCAGAAGAAUCACUGUCACAACAAAUUAAAGCUCUUAAUUGAAGGCCUGGAAGAAUGAAGCAAACUAUGACCAAUAGUUCUUUUUUACCAGGGAUGUAUAUACUCUCCCAGGUAACUUUGUACAUGAGGGUUUUGAUUUUCCCUUACCUCGUAGGAAGCUGGGAUUAUAGCUAUAUAUUGUUUCUACUUUUCUGUGGGCUGAUUUUC
rnacentral:lncRNA from 1 species